CGGAACGUGAAAUGAACAGAAAUGAAGAAAAAAUCCGACUUUCUCUUGCGAAUAAAAGGCGUCCAUUUCGCAACUUGCAACGUGCUAAAUAAAAACCAUUACAUCAUCAACAGCCAAUGAAAUUGUUCGAUGAUGUUUCAAAGAGCAUCGUGAUUAUUCGACAUGACGUCGCAUAUCGUCGGUCACGAUCUCUUGUGACGUCACUACGUAGUAUGGCGACAACUUCCUUAUAAAGAUAUUGUUACAUUUGAAUUAUAUAAUUAACCAAUCUAAAUUUCCAGUUUUCAACAACAAAUUGGAAACUUAUCGAGCUUUCUUAACGAGCUUUAAAAUGAGAAUAAGCUAGUAAUAUUUUUCUUUUUCAAAAAGGCAGUAAACUCGGAAAUUUUAUUAGAGAAUAAUUUACAUAAUAUUCUAUCGUGAUCACUGCUGCGUCAUCUCCAUGGCAACCGGUUAGCAACAAAAUUCCAAAACAAAGAUGGCGACCUUUAUACGUCUUCAGCUGGCAAGCUCGUCAAUAAAAGACGAAUUGUUUAGAAAACUAAGGGAAGCAGAGCGAAACAGGAAGACAGAGUACGACUCAGCAGUUCGAAUUCAGAGCUGGUUCAGAGGAAUCAAAGUUAGAUCAUAUUUGAGAUUUUUACAUCAUUGUGCCACUGUUAUUCAAAGACACUACAGAGGUCAUUUGGAUAGAAUAUGGCAUCAAAAAAUUGUUCAAAAUGCAGUUGUUCAAAUGCGAGAAAGAUAUUACAACUCCAUGGCAACAAAGAUUCAAAAAUUGUGGAGAGGCUAUCACACUAGAAAAUAUGUCCAUAACUAUUACAGCAGAAAACGGUAUCUGGAAGGACUUAAAACAAAAAAUUCAAUUGUCAGGAAAGAGUUAGAGGUGUGGAGAAUAAGUUUAGAAAGAGAAAAAGAAAUUAAAAGACAAAAAGAAGAGGAGGCAACCAGUGAAGCAUACAACAAACGACAUCACUAUCUUCUCAGUACCGCUCAAAUUCCUGGAAUUUAUAGUGCUCGAUUCAACCCAGAGUUGGCCACAAAGGAAGUGGAGAUAAAAUCUGCCAGGCGGCAGGAUCGGGUUCGAAAACAUAAGACUUUCUCAGGAAGUACAACAGCAAGAUGUGCUAAUUCUGAGUCUGUGUUACCUCCUAUUGGAAAGGCUGCACAGGGACCAUUCAGAACUCAAGAGGAAGCUUUACAUCAACGUCAUCGCCCAUUAAACCCAACCUUACGAGUACAAACUGCGUAUACGUCAGUUGAGGAAAGCAGGACAAAAAUGAAAGCAGAUGAGUGGAUAGCUAGGGUGGUUGAGAAACCCUUUCGACCUUUCACUCAUCGCGAGAGAGGUUACAAUCCAUUGCUUCAUACAAAAUCGACUUUUGGAAGCUUGCCUUACGGCACGAAACAUUUCCGGGAGGAGGAACUCGACAAACACGUUUCUCAAGAGAAGUUCCGCACCGUCGUCUCGCCUAUUCCAGUAUUUGAACAGUUUGGGAAAACGUACUGACGAGUUCACUUGAUAACAAGAUUGUCUGAAUUGAAUGGAUUUUAAUUUUGUUAAGUUCAUUCAAACAAUUCAAACACAACAAAAACUUUUGAACACCGUUGAACUGGAAAUGCAUUUAAAUUGUUUCGAGAACGGUCGAAGCGAACAUGAAACAAGUUUAACAAGAAGGGUCGGUAAGAAGCGAUAAAAUAAAGGUGAAAAUCCCGCUCAAACUCGACCAAGGAAACGUUUCGAAAAUACCGCUUUGGGACGAAAAUUACAGAACCAAAAAUUAAGAGAGUAGUGAAAUUAUACUUGCAGCGUCUUUCAAAAGCUUUCAACGGCUUGAAACAGCUUCAUUUGAACCUUGAAAGGAGAUUAAAGAUGGGCUAAAUAACCAAGAAUAUCCUUCUUCUAGCCACAAGAGUUAAAAAUGCCCCAAGAGGGAAGAAGUGAAUUUUCGCGCUCUUAUCUGUGAUUGGUUAAAAUUUUUAACGUGUAGAUCUGUGUGAUAGGUUAAAAAUCCUCGAAAGCUGGUCUUUAAUUGGUCAAAAACUUCAAAGUUUUUCUUUGAUUGGUCAAAAUUCCCGAUUGAGUUUCAAUUAGAACCAAUGAAAACAUAAUGGGCAAUUUAUCAGAAGAUGAUCUAUAUGAAAAGAUAUGCUGAAGUG